UUUCAUGGAAAGCAAACCAUUUACCACUGAAGUCAUUAAGCUUUUCUGUGUUUAGGAAUGAGUAAUAGAAUUCGCUGUUUUUCUAAAGGUGGUCAUAAAAUGGAUAAAGAUAACAAGGGCAAGAAGUCGGAGAAAGAUGAACGCCUCUCUAAGCGCUUGUGUUAUGUGCUGAGAUAUGGAGCUGUGAAGGAAGGACUCACGUUGUAUGAAGGAGGUAAUGUAAUUAUCAUUAAAAAUUCAAUCCACAGGCUUAAGCAUAGGAGAAAACACACCAAAGGUCAAAAAAUAUUUUAUAUUGAAUUAUAGUCAUUAUUGAGCAUCUCCUUGCAAACAUAUCAUAAAUGUUUUCUAAUGAGUAGAAUCUGAAGAUUAAUUUGUUGGGAAGAUAAAAAGAAAUUUAUGUGUUUAAUUUGUACCUAGCAUUCGUGGACCUUGAUCAGCUUCUUGAGCUUCCCCUCAUGCGACAUCACACAAGACAGGAGGUCAUUGAGGAAGCAGACAUUUCACUGUCACACAGAGGAGCGAAGAGGUUUGAAACGAAGAAAGAAAAUGGAAAAUUAUUAAUCAGAGCAUGUUUCUGCAGACACUUUGAAGAGAACCCCUAUCAUGAGGGAUCUAAUGUACCAAAACUAUCAGAGGCCUGUAUUCAGUUUGUGUGUACAAAUCUUCAAGAGUAUGAUCUGGAGGAUUUUCCAGAUGAGCAUCUUAUCAGAAGAUGAAAAGACAGAGCAAGUUAAACAAUGCAGCUCUGAGACAGCUCUUGGUUCCAGUUCUGGAACAUCUGGAUCUGUCAGGAGUCUACAUUACUGACAGCACUCUGAAACUGGUGUGGAGAAACUGUUCAAACCUGCGAGUCCUCAGUUUGAAGGAUUGUGGGUACAUCAUGACCGACAGCAUAAUGGAACAGCUGGUCAAGAAACUGCCUCAUCUUGAGUCAUUGAAUCUGUGUGCGUGUAAACAUCUGACAGACAGAUCAGCAUGGGCCCUGUCUAAACACGCCCAUAACCUCAAAGAACUCAAUCUCAGUUGGAUUACGACAAUUUCCGAGACAUCAAUCAUCGACAUUAUGACGAACUGUUCACAGCUCGUGUUUCUAGAUAUUUAUGAUCAUCGAAUAUCACAGGACAGCAGAAGAAUCAUAGCUGACAUUGCAAGAGAGCGGAAAAUGAAAAUUGUACUUAAAGGUCUAACAGACAAUGGCAUAGCCCCAGAAAACCCAUGCUCUCUACUGCCAAAUUUUGGAAAGGUCUGGUAAAAUGUUUUCAACCAUGUUUCUUGGCCUUGCAUAUCAUGGUCUCUUCAUCUGAAAAUCUGUGCUCUGCUGCAAGAGUUCAAAACUAAAUGCUACAUUAUGGCAUCUCAAGGCCUUAAAUCACACUCAGGUACAAAUGUAUAAGUUUUUGUUGUAGUAAUUCUGUGAUACAUUGCCCCUUGUCUUUCAAUUUAAUUCAUGAACUUAAAAUUAGUGUGCAAAAAAAUAUUUUAAAAUUGUAAUUAAUACAUGAAUAUAUAUACUGUGUGUGUGUGUGCAUGUGCGUGUGUGAUUUCAUUUGAAAUUGCUGAGAUGUUGAUUUUAUGAUUGAGACACAUAUUUGUUUAUCUGUGUAUGUUAUCCUGUAUGGCUAAUGAAAAAAUUAUAUCAGUUUAACUUAAAAAAAAAAAUUCAUUUUUAUUUUUUUUUUACUUUUUAUUGUCAACAGUAACAAGAAAAGGGUAUUGCCCUCGACGAUGAUGGAUCAGCAAAGUUUUAGGUGACCAGUAACUUCAUUAACCAACUUUUCUGGGCCUGAAAUUUAAAACAGAUACCAGUAUUAGAAAAAAGAACAAAAAGCAUACCAAUCUGAUGUUUUGAAGGCAUUAAUAUGUCACAAGAAGAAAAAUAAUUUAAAUUUUGUGGCAUUCUGUAUAGCUUUAAAAAGCAGGAAUAUUUUGUACUCUGAAGUACUGGUUCAUGUAUGGUAGUUAAAUCUAAAUAUUAAUAAAUACCGGGACUGCAAAUC
rnacentral:misc_RNA from 1 species